rnacentral:rRNA from 1 species
UACGUAGGGUGCAAGCGUUAAUCGGAAUUACUGGGCGUAAAGCGUGCGCAGGCGGUUAUGUAAGACAGAUGUGAAAUCCCCGGGCUCAACCUGGGACCUGCAUUUGUGACUGCAUAGCUAGAGUGCGGCAGAGGGGGAUGGAAUUCCGCGUGUAGCAGUGAAAUGCGUAGAUAUGCGGAGGAGCACCGAUGGCGAAGGCAAUCCCCUGGGCCUGCACUGACGCUCAUGCACGAAAGCGUGGGGAGCAAACAGGAUUAGAAACCCCCGUAGUCC